rnacentral:rRNA from 1 species
GAUGAACGCUGGCGGCGUGCUUAACACAUGCAAGUCGAACGGAACUAUUCCGAUCUGAGGCUUCGGCUGACGAAUGGUUUAGUUUAGUGGCGGACGGGUGAGUAACGCGUGAGCAACCUGCCCUUCAGUGGGGGACAACAGCUGGAAACGGCUGCUAAUACCGCAUAUUGCAUUUGGAUCGCAUGGUCUAAAUGUGAAAGAUUUAUCGCUGAAGGAUGGGCUCGCGUCUGAUUAGCUAGUUGGUGAGGUAAUGGCUCACCAAGGCGACGAUCAGUAGCCGGACUGAGAGGUUGAACGGCCACAUUGGGACUGAGAUACGGCCCAGACUCCUACGGGAGGCAGCAGUGGGGAAUAUUGGGCAAUGGGCGCAAGCCUGACCCAGCAACGCCGCGUGAAGGAAGAAGGCUUUCGGGUUGUAAACUUCUUUGACCAGGGAAGAAACAAAUGACGGUACCUGGAAAACAAGCCACGGCUAACUACGUGCCAGCCGCCGCCGUAACAC